GCAAACUUGGUCAUUUAGAGGAAGUAAAAGUCGUAACAAGGUUUCCGUAGGUGAACCUGCGGAAGGAUCAUUAUUGAAAGAAUUAAGGUGGGUACUGUUGCUGGUCUUUUAACCAAGACAUGUGCACGUACUAGCCGCUUUCAUUCAUCCACCUGUGCACUUUUUGUAGGAGUUCUUUUAGGUUGGCUAAUAGGUUUCACAACCUUGCAGUCGGUUUAGAAGGCUUCUAUGUCUUACAAACAAGUUAAGCAUGUUUGAGAAUGUUCUUUUAUUGGGACUUCAUUGACCCUUUAAAACUUUAUACAACUUUCAGCAACGGAUCUCUUGGCUCUCCCAUCGAUGAAGAACGCAGC
rnacentral:misc_RNA from 1 species